rnacentral:rRNA from 1 species
UGGGGAAUAUUGCGCAAUGGGGGAAACCCUGACGCAGCAACGCCGCGUGAAGGAUGAAGGUCUUCGGAUUGUAAACUUCUUUGAUUGGGGAAGAAUAAAAUGACUGUACCCAAAAAACAAGCCACGGCUAACUACGUGCCAGCAGCCGCGGUAAUACGUAGGUGGCGAGCGUUGUCCGGAAUUACUGGGUGUAAAGGGCGUGUAGGCGGGAAUGCAAGUCAGAUGUGAAAUUCCAAAGCUCAACUUUGGAGCUGCAUCUGAAACUGCGUUUCUUGAGUGUUGGAGAGGAAAGUGGAAUUCCUAGUGUAGCGGUGAAAUGCGUAGAUAUUAGGAGGAACACCAGUGGCGAAGGCGACUUUCUGGACAAUAACUGACGCUGAGGCGCGAAAGCGUGGGGAGC